AUUGAACGCUGGCGGCAUGCCUUACACAUGCAAGUCGAACGGCAGCACGGGGGCAACCCUGGUGGCGAGUGGCGAACGGGUGAGUAAUACAUCGGAACGUGCCCAGUAGUGGGGGAUAGCCCGGCGAAAGCCGGAUUAAUACCGCAUACGACCUAUGGGUGAAAGCGGGGGAUCGCAAGACCUCGCGCUACCGGAGCGGCCGAUGUCAGAUUAGGUUGUUGGUGGGGUAAAAGCCACCAAGCCGACGAUCUGUAGCUGGUCUGAGAGGACGACCAGCCACACUGGGACUGAGACACGGCCCAGACUCCUACGGGAGGCAGCAGUGGGGAAUUUUGGACAAUGGGCGCAAGCCUGAUCCAGCCAUGCCGCGUGCGGGAAGAAGGCCUGGUGUAACG
rnacentral:rRNA from 1 species